rnacentral:ncRNA from 1 species
AGUUUGAUUCUGGCUUUUUAAUUUAUUAGUUUUUAACUUGACAUGUAUAUUUUUGUGUGGUGUUUUAUUCCAGGUGAUUGUUUUCAUUAUUCGCAGUUUUUAACUUUAUUUAUUUAGCUCAUGCUAGAAUUGGUUAUACAAUAUUAGCUUUAACUAAUUUUGUGCCAGCAGUUGCGGUUACACAAUUAAAGCAGGUAAAUUUUUUAGGUUUAUAUUAGAAUAUGAAGAGUAAUUAGUUAAUUAUAAAUUGAUAUUAAGUGAAAUUUUUUCUUAAAAAUUUAACUAUGGUCUAUUAUAUAAGAAAAUCAUUGUUUUAAACUAGGAUUAGAUACCCUAUUAUUUUGACUGUAUUUGUUUUACCUUAAUAUUAAUAGUUAAGAUCUUUAAACUAAAAGAAUUUGGCGGUAAUUUAAUCUUGUUAGAGGAACCUGUCCUGUAAUCGAUAAUCCACGUUGAAUUUUACUUUGCUUAGGCUUGUAUAUCUCUGUCAUUGAAUGUCUUAUAAGAGUUUAUUUUCUAGAAUCUUUAUUAGUAAAAUGGUAGGUCAAGGUGCAGCAGUAGCAAAGUAGUGAUGGGUUACAUUAAAUUUAUUUAUAGAUUUAAUUAUGGAAAUUUUUAUUGAAACUGGAUUUAAAAGUAAUCUCUUCUAGCAAGAAGAGAUGAUUUUAGUUCUAAAUUAUGCACAUAUCGCCCGUCAUUCCUAUUUUUAUAAAUAGGACAAGUCGUAACAAAGUAAGGCUAUCGGAAGAUGGCCUUAGAUA